rnacentral:rRNA from 1 species
UACGAAGGGGGCUAGCGUUGUUCGGAAUUACUGGGCGUAAAGGGCGCGUAGGCGGCCUCUUAAGUCGAACGUGAAAUCCCCGGGCUCAACCCGGGAACUGCGUCCGAUACUGGGGGGCUUGAAUCCGGGAGAGGGAUGUGGAAUUCCAGGUGUAGCGGUGAAAUGCGUAGAUAUCUGGAGGAACACCGGCGGCGAAGGCGGCAUCCUGGACCGGUAUUGACGCUGAGGCGCGAAAGCUAGGGGAGCAAACGGG